AAAUUCUAUUCCUUAAUUGUCCGGCUAUAAAUUCUGCAAGAAUAUUAGGAUGUCCAUAAGGGUUUGCAAUUCUUGUAAUAGCAAUGUUCAGUUUUCGGUUCACACAAUUGAGUUUUUUUUGUAAAUUCA